GAGGGGGGCAUGAGCAUGAAGGACUGCUAAUCCUCCACCCUGUAGUUAAAUCCCACAGACCCU
rnacentral:tRNA from 1 species